CACGUAGGGCGCAAGCGUUGUCCGGAAUUAUUGGGCGUAAAGAGCGUGUAGGCGGUCCGUUAAGUCGGCUGUGAAAGUCCAAGGCUCAACCUUGGGAUGCCGGUCGAUACUGCCGGACUAGAGUUCGGAAGAGGCGAGUGGAAUUCCCGGUGUAGCGGUGAAAUGCGCAGAUAUCGGGAGGAACACCUAUGGCGAAGGCAGCUCGCUGGGACGUUACUGACGCUGAGACGCGAAAGCGUGGGGAGCAAACAGG
rnacentral:rRNA from 1 species